rnacentral:rRNA from 1 species
CCUACGGGAGGCAGCAGUGGGGAAUAUUGGGCAAUGGAGGAAACUCUGACCCAGCGACGCCGCGUGCGGGAUGAAGGCCUUCGGGUUGUAAACCGCUUUCAGUAGGGAAGAAGCGAAAGUGACGGUACCUACAAAAGAAGCACCGGCUAACUAUGUGCCAGCAGCCGCGGUAAUACAUAGGGUGCAAGCGUUGUCCGGAAUUAUUGGGCGUAAAGAGCUCGUAGGUCGUUUGUUACGUCGGAUGUGAAAACCUGAGGCUCAACCUCAGGCCUGCAUUCGAUACGGGCAAACUAGAGUUUGGUAGGGGAGACUGGAAUUCCUGGUGUAGCGGUGGAAUGCGCAGAUAUCAGGAGGAACACCAAUGGCGAAGGCAGGUCUCUGGGCCAAUACUGACACUGAGGAGCGAAAGUCUGGGGAGCGAACAGGAUUAGAUACCCUGGUAGUCCAGACCGUAAACGGUGGGCACUAGUUGUGGGAACCUUCCACGGUUUCUGCGACGCAGCUAACGCAUUAAGUGCCCCGCCUGGGGAGUACGAUCGCAAGAUUAAACUCGAAAGGAUUGAACGGNUGAGAGUGCGAGCGACGACGAGGAGAGG